rnacentral:ncRNA from 1 species
CCUGCUAUUUUCAAACAUGGUUAACUCAGUGCAGAUAGAUUUUUCAGUCUAGCUGAGAUGCAGGGUUAUAUGAGAUAGAGUAGUUCGGGAUACUGGGCUAUCAACUAUCUUUCUGGCAGAAUCGCUCCUGCCAGAGGAGGAAGAAACUUCCAAUACACCUUGUAGUGUAUCAUCAUAAAGAGACCAAAAGCAGAAUCCUUGUGGUCAGUGUAUAAUAGACGCUUGCGGUGCAAGAAUAAUCCGUUGAUGUGAGGGGCGUGAGAGACCACGGACUAGGCGGAAAUCUCAUUAAGCUGAUUUGCCUUGAACCUGAGAAAUCAGGGUAUAACACAAGAGAUUCGUUAGAGUAGCGGUAUGGCAUUUAUUAUAAAAUAAAAUCUUUCGAAUGAUUAUCGAAAAACUUCUGAAAGAACCGUGAAAUUUGUGGGUGACAUUCCCGUUUGUGCUUGACCGCGGUAAGAAGCUCAGGGUCGCUCCCGAAGGCUCAGACUUAUCGUCACAGUGGCUGAAUAUGGUUGCAAGUAUGAUGGAUAAGGGGAAACCCUAAUCAUGUUUGAAUAGUUGA